GGGAAAUAUUGACCAAGAACUUUCAAUGCCUUCCAGUAAGUAGGAUAUAGGCUCUGCUGCCUUGGGGAGUGAUUUAUUCAGCACAAAGAAAUCUUCACAAUUAAGAUUUCAGUAGCAGAUUUAAAAUAUAUUUGACUCAUGACCACAUUCUUGUUUCCAGGUGCUGUUAUCUUUUAAAAGUUAGCCCACCUUGCUAGAGAAAUUGUUUAUCAUUUAACCUUUCAGGCUAUUUUAAAUGCUUACAGCCUGGGAUGGUGAGGGAAGAAAGGAGAGAGAGAGAUUAAUCAUUGAAGAAAAUGGCCUAUGAAGUUCAGGUUUUAUUGUCGAUGAUAUUUUUAAAAAGAAAUUAAAAACAAAAACUUUCGUGCUGAGUUUUUGAUGGUUUAAAGAAGUGUUUGUGCUUGCUACUUAAUAACAUGAUGUUUCAUCCACCUCAUUAGAACUGAUUCAAAUGUAUUCUUUUUAAUGGCUGAGUAAUACUCCAUUGUGUAUAUGUACCACAGCUUUCUUAUCCAUUCAUCUGCUGAUGGACAUCUAGGUUGCUUCCAUGUCUUGGCUAUUAUAAACAGUGCUGCGAUGAACAUUGGGGUACACGUGUCUCUUUCCCUUCUGGUUUCCUCAGUGUGUAUGCCCAGCAGUGGGGUUGCUGGAUCAUAAGGCAGUUCUAUUUCCAGUUUUUUAAGGAAUCUCCACACUGUUCUCCAUAGUGGCUGUACUAGUUUGCAUUCCCACCAACAGUGUAGAAAGAUGGUAACAAUAACCCGGUGUACGAGACAGCAAAAGAGACACUGAUGUAUAGAACAGUCUUAUGGACUCUGUGGGAGAGGGAGAGGGUGGGAAGAUUUGGGAGAAUGGCAAUGAAACAUGUAAAAUAUCAUGUAGGAAACGAGUUGCCAGUCCAGGUUCGAUGCACGAUGCUGGAUGCUUGGGGCUGGUGCAAUGGGACGGCCCAGAGGGAUGGUAUGGGGAGGGAGGAGGGAGGAGGGUUCGGGAUGGGGAACACAUGUAUACCUGUGGUGGAUUCAUUUUGAUAUUUGGCAAAACUAAUACAAUUAUGUAAAGUUUAAAAAUAAAAUAAAAUUGGAAGAAUUAAAAAAAAUAAAAUAAAAUAAAAAGGACUUCAAGUGAAAAAAAAAAAAAA
rnacentral:lncRNA from 1 species